GGUUAAGUGACUAAGCGUAUGUGGUGGAUGCCUUGGCAGUUAGAGGCGAUGAAGGACGUGUUAAUCUGCGAAAAGCGUUGGUGAGGUGAUAAAAACCGUUAUAGCCAACGAUGUCCGAAUGGGGAAACCCACCUAGCAUAAGCUAGGUAUCAUUAUCUGAAUACAUAGGAUAAUGAAGCGAACCGGGAGAACUGAAACAUCUAAGUACCCCGAGGAAAAGAAAUCAACCGAGAUUUCGUUAGUAGCGGCGAGCGAACGCGAAUCAGCCCUUAAGCUUAUUGGGCGCUAGUGGAAGGUUCUGGAAAGGACCACGAUACAGGGUGAUAGUCCCGUACACUAAAGCAACCUUUAAGUGAAAUCGAGUAGGACGGAGCACGUGAAACUUUGUCUGAAUAUGGGGGGACCAUCCUCCAAGGCUAAAUACUACUAACUGACCGAUAGUGAACCAGUACCGUGAGGGAAAGGCGAAAAGAACCCCUGUGAGGGGAGUGAAAUAGAACCUGAAACCGCAUACGUACAAGCAGUGGGAGCCCGAUUUAGUCGGGUGACUGCGUACCUUUUGUAUAAUGGGUCAGCGACUUAUAUUCUGUAGCAAGGUUAACCGAUUAGGGGAGCCGUAGCGAAAGCGAGUGUUAACUGCGCGUUUAGUUGCAGGGUAUAGACCCGAAACCCGGCGAUCUACCCAUGGGCAGGUUGAAGGUUGAGUAACAUCAACUGGAGGACCGAACACACGUAUGUUGAAAAAUGCGGUGAUGACUUGUGGGUCGGAGUGAAAGGCUAAUCAAGCCGGGAGAUAGCUGGUUCUCCCCGAAAUCUAUUUAGGUAGAGCCUCGCACGAACACCAUUGGGGGUAGAGCACUGUUAAGGCUAGGGGGUCAUCCCGACUUACCAACCCUUUGCAAACUCCGAAUACCAAUGAGUGAUAUGCGGGAGACACACUGCGGGUGCUAACGUCCGUUGUGAAGAGGGAAACAACCCAGACCGCCAGCUAAGGUCCCAAAGUACUAGUUAAGUGGGAAACGAUGUGGAAAGGCAUAGACAGCUAGGAGGUUGGCUUAGAAGCAGCCAUCCUUUAAAGAAAGCGUAAUAGCUCACUAGUCGAGUCGGUCUGCGCGGAAGAUGUAACGGGGCUAAACUAGUCACCGAAGCUGCGGAUUCAGAAUUUAUUCUGAGUGGUAGGGGAGCGUUCUGUAAGCCGUUGAAGGUGAAUUGAGAAGUUUGCUGGAGGUAUCAGAAGUGCGAAUGCUGACAUGAGUAACGAUAAGGGGAGUGAAAAACUUCCCCGCCGAAAGACCAAGGUUUCCUGUCCCAUGUUAAUCAGGGCAGGGUAAGUCGGCCCCUAAGGCGAGGCGGAAACGCGUAGUCGAUGGGAAACAGAUUAAUAUUUCUGUACUUCUAUAUAUUGCGAAGGAGGGACGGAGUAGGCUAGGUGAGCACGGCGUUGGUAGUCCGUGUGAAAGUAUGUAGGCUGAAGACUUAGGUAAAUCCGGGUCUUCUUAAGGCUGAGAUACGAGACGAGAUUCUACGGAAUUGAAGUCAUUGAUGCCAUGCUUCCAGGAAAAGCUUCUAAGCUUCAGAUAUAUAGGAACCGUACCCCAAACCGACACAGGUGGUUAGGUAGAGAAUACUAAGGCGCUUGAGAGAACUCGGGUGAAGGAACUAGGCAAAAUAGUACCGUAACUUCGGGAGAAGGUACGCUACUCAUGGUGAAGCCCUUGCGGUGUAAGCUAAGAGUAGUCGAAGUAACCAGGUGGCUGGAACUGUUUAUUAAAAACACAGCACUGUGCAAAAUCGAAAGAUGACGUAUACGGUGUGACGCCUGCCCGGUGCCGGAAGGUUAAUUGAUUGGGUUAGUCCUCGGACGAAGCUCAUGAUCGAAGCCCCGGUAAACGGCGGCCGUAACUAUAACGGUCCUAAGGUAGCGAAAUUCCUUGUCGGGUAAGUUCCGACCUGCACGAAUGGCGUAAUCAUGGCCACACUGUCUCCACCCGAGACUCAGUGAAAUUGAAUUUGCGGUUAAGAUGCCGUAUACCCGCGGCUAGACGGAAAGACCCCGUGAACCUUUACUAUAGCUUGACAGUGAACAUUGCUCCUACAUGUGUAGGAUAGGUGGGAGGCGUUGAAACUUUGUCGCCAGAUGAAGUGGAGCCACUCUUGAAAUACCACCCUUGUAUGCGUGAUGUUCUAACCUAGGGCCGUAAUCCGGCUUGGGGACACUGUCUGGUGGGUAGUUUGACUGGGGCGGUCUCCUCCCAAAGAGUAACGGAGGAGCACGAAGGUUGGCUAAGUAC
rnacentral:rRNA from 1 species